UAGGGAAUCUUCCGCAAUGGACGAAAGUCUGACGGAGCAACGCCGCGUGAGUGAAGAAGGAUUUCGGUUCGUAAAACUCUGUUGUUAGGGAAGAAAAAAUGUAUAGUAACUAUAUACAAAAGAGACGGUACCUAACCAGAAAGCCACGGCUAACUACGUGCCAGCAGCCGCGGUAAUACGUAGGUGGCAAGCGUUGUCCGGAAUUAUUGGGCGUAAAGCGCGCGCAGGUGGUUUAGAAAGUCUGAUGUGAAAGCCCACGGCUCAACCGUGGAGGGUCAUUGGAAACUAAUAAACAUGAGUGCAGGAGAGAAAAGUGGAAUUCCUAGUGUAGCGGUGAAAUGCGUAGAGAUUAGGAGGAACACCGGUGGCGAAAGCGGCUUUUUGGCCUGCAACUGACACUGAGGCGCGAAAGCGUGGGGAGCAAACAGG
rnacentral:rRNA from 1 species